GAGUUGUAUAAGGAGAGGUUAGCAGUCCCCUUGACAAGAAUAGAAAAGACCCUUGAGCCUGUAUAACACACAUAGAGUUAAGGCAUCAUCUCCCACGUGGCGGCAUCUAACCAUGGCUUUGA
ensembl:snRNA U6atac minor spliceosomal RNA